rnacentral:misc_RNA from 1 species
AACUUUUGACAAUGGAUCUCUUGGUUCUGGCAUCGAUGAAGAACGCAGCGAAAUGCGAUAAAUAAUGUGAAUUGCAGAAUUCCGUGAAUCAUCGAAUCUUUGAACGCACAUUGCGCCUAUUAGUAUUCUAGUAGGCAUGCCUAUUCGAGCGUUGUUUCUGCCCUCAGCGCCUGCUGGUGUUGGAAGCUGGCGUGAGCCGGCCUCUAAAAUGGAAUGGCUAGCGGCUCCCCUGCCCCUUUACGCACUGGAAUCUUCAGCGUUGCAAGGCGGAGUGCCUCUAUGUCUGCAUCCAACUUCUCAAGUUGACCUCGAAUUAGGUAGGAAUACCCGCUGAACUUAAGCAUAUCAAUAAGCGGAGGCU